UAUAUAUAUAUAUAUAUAUAUAUUUUAUAUAUGAUAAAAUAAAUAUUAAUAGUAAUUAUACGAUGAAACAUGUUACUGUUGAUAGGUUUAUGAAUAUAUUUUUUACGGGUUACUCAAAGAGACAUGGAACAUAUAUAUCUAAUAUAAACUAAUUGAACAAAUAUGUUAACACAAAUAUAUCAUAAAACAUUACAUUAACAUGAAUCGAUGCCAGAGAGUAAGGGUUAGUAUUAUAAUUAUUUAAAAAUAUAAUUAUAUAUAUAAAUUAUAAAAAUUAAGAAUUAAAUAUAAUAAAAUAUAUAUAUCAAAAUAAAAUAAUAAAUAUUUACAUUUCUAUUGCGAAUAAUGAAAUUAACUUUUAAAUUUAAAAUAAGCCAUAGACAAAACAUCAAAAAGUAUCUAAUAACUUGUGAAUAACAAAAGUAAAAUAACUAAAUAAAUAAACAAUUUUUUUUUCCAAACGUAAAUCAUUAAUUUGUAAUAGACAUAUACAUAUUAUUGAUGCUCAAAUCUAUUUCAUUUUUAGUAUGCAUCCUCUCAAAUAUUGAUCCAUUAACAAGAUUAAAUUUUAGUUGGACUAAAAUUGUAUUUAAAUUGGAAUAUCACUUUCAUAAUAUAUUCACUAUUCAUCUGAUUCAUGAAUAUAUAUUACAAUACUCUAAAUAUAAUAAUAAAUCAAACCGAAUUACAUAUUGGGUCAUCUACCAGCUCAACCGAUAACCAGAUCUCGGGUUUUAGCGGUUGUUACGGGUUUUAUAGAAUUUUUAAAUAACAGUUUUUUUUUUUGAAAACUAAAAUGGAUUACAUAUGAGCCACCGAAUUUGCCAAUUUUAAUGCGGAUCGGGUCGGAUUUCAAAACAUUGAAUAUAAUGUUCUAUUUGUAAUAUCUAAGUGUAGAUACAAUUAAAAUACAAAUUUAUAUCAAAUAAAUUUGGAAUGUUUCGAAAAUAAUUCCGCGUUUUGAAAGUGCGGAUCAAAAUCUAGUACUUAUAUUAAAAAUAUUGCGAAGCGUAGAAAUUAAGUGCGUGGUUACCUUUUCUGGUUCGUAAAGAGACCGGUGAAAACUGGCAGUUACGAGGACAUUUUUCUCAAAAAUUAAAACUUACGAGGACAUCGACAUAUCUUUAUGAUCAAAUACCAAUGUAAUAAAUGCAAAUAAAUGACACCGUUUUGUAAUAUAAAAAAAAAUGACACCGUUUUGUAUUUCGAUUAAAUUAGAGAUCUCAUAUGACUUUCACGGGAUUAAAUUUCCGAUUGCAUAUGACAUCACGACUUGCCCUUGGAAAAUAGAUAUAUUGACUAGUUUUUUUUCUUUUUUCUUGACUAGGUGAUUUAUAAAAUACAAUACUACGUGAUACCGUGAUUUCUCGACUCAUUGUUUCUUAACGCAUACAUUUAACCGAUACUACAAGAUGUGCAAAUGAUUUUUGUGUGUAAAUUUUAAAUGUGAUGCUCAUGCUCCAUCAGGGGCGGAUCCAAGAUGGUUUUUAGUAUGGGACACUUAACCAUUUCAAUAACUAAAAGCUUGAUAUAAGUAUACUUAAUUAAAUUUAACACUAGAUGUCAAUGAACAAAAAAAUUAGGGUGAGGCACAUGCCACACCCUCUAAUACAGUGGGACCGCCCCUGUGCUCCAUCUUUAAGAUGGUAAAUUUGUAGAUUCGAUAAUUACAACAUAGAGUAACCUUUCUGUUUCAAAAUACGAGAUAAAAAUUUCUGCUUUGACAUUUUCGAAUAUAGAAUAAAGACAAAACCUCUAAAUUAAAGGGGACUAAAUCACCACGGAAGUUCUUUACAAGGAAAUAUAUAUAGCAACGCAUCAAAUAUACAUUUGAUAACACUUUUGCACAAGUAUUUCAAAGAGUUUAAGAUGGGUUCUGAUGUACUAAUAGUAUAAUAUCAUAAUAAUAAUAAAAAUAAACAUGGGCAAACCACGAAGGGAUCGAUAAAGAAAGAACAUUAAUGUGAAAAAAGGACAGGAAGGGGUCGAAAACUAAAAGCAAGUUGGUUCGAGCGUCACCACCUUCACGUGGAAGGGACGUGGAGCUCGAAGUUCUACACUCGAUUCCGAAUCAUAAGACAGCGAAGCACACGUGUGUCCUCCUCGUUUUGCCCCAUAACGCUUCAUCUCCUCAACUGUCAGAUAAUAAAUCGCCCUAAAUUCGAUGACUUCCCAUAUACUCGUAGCACUUCCAGCUACAAGUCGCAAACACACACUUUGACUUAAGACUUAAGACACAUAUUAAUUGUACGAUAUUAUGAACGAUGUACCAUACGUAUUUCCAAAAGAAAUGCUGAACUUGGUGUUAUAACAGCAAGCACUAACGUCAUGCAAAAAUCAAUGAUAAUUGAUUCAUCACCGAUAGACAAAAUGACAAUGUCUAUAGUCCUAAAAUAUAAAUUGUCAAAUAUAUAUGUAACGAAGAUCUUAUAUAAGAAUGUCAAUUAUAUGGUCACUUUUAUCCACAAAACUUUUAUUUUUACGUUCACUUUAUAGAUAGCAUGUAAUAAAAAUAAAAAUACUCACCGAGACAACCAGUCAUAGCCGUCUGAUGAAAGUUGGAGGAACCAACAUCGUGCACUGCUGACAAAAUCCCUCGCACAUGCGGCUACGUGCAUUUCCAAAAAUAAUCAAAGUGGCUCGGAAAUGGGUUCGGUUCGGGGUGUGGUCCCACGUGUCUUUACCAUGUGACCGUCUGAGCUGGCACAUGCGAUUAACCGCUAAAUCAAAACGGCAAUAAUCAUUUGUUUCAUUAGAUCGAUGAUCACUAGUUAUUAAUCUAUUGCUUAAAAGCUGUGCCACACGUGCAACCUCGUCAUGGAUACUCAGAUGAUCUCUAUGCUUUAUUUUAUUCACGCCUUUAUAUGCUUGAUUUACAUAUAUACCCUUGGCUUGGAAUCAUAUAGUAUCAUUAUUGUUUUUUUUCUUCUUUCAGAAGUGAGUUAUUUGCAAAUGUAAUAAGCAUGUUUAUAGCUUGGUUGGUGGGAUAUAUAUAUAAUUUUAAAACUAAACGUGUCUUUUAUCAUUACUAGUAUAAUUUAUACUAUAUUAAAAUAAAAUGGAAAUACAUUUAAUAUCAUAAUGACUAUUGACUGAUUUUAAAUAGUUAUAAUUAUCAAGGAAAUAAAUAAAUUAUAACAUUUUUCUUGAUUAGUGUGUAGAAUACUAAAAUCACACUUGUUGUGAAAAUAGAGAGAUAAUAAGGUUGUGCGACCAAAUCAAUAAUGAGUCGAGAUUUUGCAAUCAAAUAUCGGACAUACUGAUCUCUACAUAUCACACUAUUAAGGAAGCUAAAUCACACUAUAAAUUUAUGUUGCCAAGGUGUCUGUUGCUUAAAAUGAUGAAAGUUGUUCUCCCACAAACUUAUAUUCUAUCUGCCCAUCAACCAUAUACAAUCAUUCUUUUCUCGAACUUGUCCUCUUUAAUCUUUAUAUCAUUGACCGCUGAAAACAUUCUUGAGCUUGAACUUGCACCGGCCCAAUAUCUUCUCUAACCCUUUGUCUUGCGUCUGGUCCAACAGAGACCCAUUCAAAUGUGUUAACUAAAGUUAAGUCUAAAAACAAUCCUCUUUGCAUUUUUUCAAUUUCGUAUGCUUACUGUUAAACACACACACACAAAAACACAUUUGAUCGUUUGAUCUAAACAUAUGAGGAAAACGCCGAUAAAUAAAAAAAUACUAAAAAACGUGGAUCUUGAUGAGACUCUAAUUUUGAUGGGCCCAAAGCCAGUAAAUAAAAUACUCAGGUCAGAAAUAAAGAAAAAAAGCUGAAACGGUAGUGUAUGGUACUUUAUGUACAUGUUUUGACAAGUACGGAUUAGAUUUAGAAAAACAUGCAACCGAAGAUCAGGAGAGUGAGUUUCAACAAAAGAAGUAAUGUCAACGGUUCUUCAGCUUCCGAUACCGACCUUUCUUGGCCGGAAAAGCUCUCUACUUCCCGAUUGAUUCGUCAGAUUCUCUUCUUUUUCUUCUUCUUGUAUCAUACACCUAACAUUAAAUGCUUCUUUGUAUUGACUAUAUAAAAUGCUUCUAAUUUGAGUUUGGAGCAAACAUUAUAUGUGUGAGCUUUGAUGAUUAUUUUCAAUUCUUAGGCUUGUUUGAAUCAUGGAUUCUUCUAUCUCACGAAUCAUGGCGUUCCCGAGGAGUUGAUGAAAAGAGUGUUCAAGGAGAGCAAGAACUUGUUCUCUUUUCCUCUUGAUGAGAAGAUGGUGAUGGUUCGACGUGGUUUUAGAGGUUACUCACCUUUGUACGACGAGAAAGGUUCUUAUUAUUAUAGCUCAUGACAAUUGUUCGAUCACUCCAAUGAACACGUGAGUAAUUCCAGCUUCUCGUAACAGGUGAUUCUAAGGAGAUAUUCACUUUUGGAUCUUCAGAGGGAGUUUUAGGUCAACAUUACCCUAAUAAAUGGCUUUCUGAAGGUAAAAAAAAGUUUGUUGUAUAAUCAUAAUUUCUUAUUUUGUUUAUGUUUAUUUGAUCUAUUUUAUGGAUUUUAUUAUUAGACCUUUUGCCGCUAUGGAGGCCAACCAUGGAACGCUACUAUAAAAGUGUUGUAUAAGUACCAGGAAAUGCUUAUUGACAAUAUUUUUAAACCUUCUACAACUAGCUAUUCAAUUUUGUUGUUUGGUUCUCGUAUAAUAUUGAAUUAUUUUUAUUUCUAUUUUAUUAAGUUUUUUAAUUGCUCAUUAGGGAUGUUGGCAAGAAAUUGCUUGGCCUAGUGGCCUUAGCGUUGGAUUUGGAAGAGAACUUCUUUGAAAGAUUGGGAGCCUUCAAUGAUCAAGCAGCAGUUGUUCGCCUCUUACUUUAUUCAGGAGAGUUGAAUUCAUCUGAAGAAGAAGAAGAAGAAGAAACAUGUGGGGCCUCUGCUCAUUCAGAUUUUAGAAUGCUAACUCUUCUUGCAACAGAUAUGGAGUUCCAGGGCUUCAAGUUUGUAGGGAUAAAGAUAAAGAACCAAAUGUUUGAGAAGAUGUCCCUGGAAUUAAAGUGCUUUUAUUGUCAACAUCAGAGACCUCAUGGAGAGAUGGACUAAUGGGCUUUUCCGAUCAACAAUGCAUAGAGUGUGUCAGUUGGAGAAGAACGUUACUCGGUGGCUGUAUUUCUAGAUCCAGACCCAAACUGUGUUGUGGAGUGCUUGGAGAGUUGCUUUAGUGAAACAUCCCCUCCUAGGUAUUAUCUGAAUUUUGAUUGUUAAGGGUGAAUUUCAACUAAUAAAAUGUUUUGGUCUUUAAUCGGAAAACCAAAAAGGUUGAUUUGUGAAUAUAUUUCCCCUCAGGUUUCCACUGGUCCGAACCAGUGAUUAUUUCCACGACCGAUUCAGCCAAUCCCUCAUCUCGAGACUUUGCCUUAUUAAUAAAAAAACUUGUGUGUUGUGUCAUCAAAAACUCGGAAGUUUCUGCUGCCUCUACGUUGUUGAUAAACCUUAAUAUUGUUAUAUAUGGUCCUUGUGACUAGAUGGGCCAAAACGAUAAGACUAAGAGCAUGCUGAAUUUCGAAAAACAGUUCUCUAUGCUACUUAUAAAACUGUUUGAUGUUGUUGUGUCUUUAAUAAGGCAUGUCUUGAACAAGGACUCUUCUAUGUAGAGUCAUGACGUCCCAGAAGAAUUGAUAUAAGGGGGUGUUUUCAUGGAUAGCAAAGACUUCUUUAACCUCCCACAAGAGGAAAAUAUAGCAUACAAUCCUGCAAAGUAGAUAUUACUACAAACCAUGGAAUCUUACUACAAGAAUGUCCUGUAAGCUUGCCGGUUCCUUUUUUAUUUUUCUGCAAAGUAAUUAUUGAACAAAAAAUUGGAUCAUCAUAGAUGCAGGUCUUCUCUAAACAUUUCAAAUUGAAAAUAGGUUUCAAGUUUGUAUUAACAGUUAGAUUUGAACUUUGAUGGUAGGGAUACAUAUAAGCUAUUCUAGGCGAUGAGAUCGGUAGUACAAAUAUGUGCAACCUUAUGUGCAUGUGUGUGUUCUUGAAAUAUUCAACUUAUAAAAGAGAUAUGUAAUUUCAUAUAUAUCUCCUCCUUUGAUCUUCCAUUUUAGUUUCCUAGAUUGACUUGCUUGUUGGUGUUUGAUAUUUUGCUUUGCUGCUUUAAGGUCUGUGUGUAGGUGGUGCAGUCGUAUUAAUGGUAACUCAGCUCAAAUCUAAAUUUCUAGAGACCUGACUUCUUCGAUUGAUGAACUUAUACAAAAUCAAUGCAAGGCUCAAAUUGAUGACAUAAUCGAAUCAAUGCAAGACUUUAGAGAAAAAAAAACUCUAGUUUAUUAUCUUUCAAAGACUGGUUAUCAAAAGCAACACUACAAUGACUUAUAUAGGUUAUAAGAGUCAUCUAAAUCUCCAAACUCACCUAAAAAUAGGAAAACUAAUAAAAUGAAAACAUAACAAGAAAAGGAAAUCUGUUAAAUGAAAGCCGACAAAGAAAAAUGGUCGCUUGGCGCUGAAAGUAUCAUGAUGCUGCAUCAGGUCUCUUGGGGUUAGAAAUAUUCGACUUCGAAUCGGGCACUGGAUCAAAGAUACCGAACAUUAAACACGUCUGAGGUCCUGAUGUUAGCCCGAAGUUGCAGGCGAUAAGCAUUGUCAUUAAUACGCUCGAGAACCUCGAGAGGACCAAUCUUCUUCGCUUUGAGUUUGUUAUACGCAUGAGCUGG